CCUACGGGUGGCAGCAGUGGGGAAUAUUGCACAAUGGGGGAAACCCUGAUGCAGCGACGCCGCGUGUAGGAAGACGGUCCUCUGGAUUGUAAACCACUGUCCCCAGGGACUAAGAUGACGGUACCUGGGGAGGAAGCUCCGGCUAACUACGUGCCAGCAGCCGCGGUAAUACGUCGGGAGCGAGCUUUGUCCGGAAUUACUGGGUGUAACGGGAGCGUAGGCGGGACUGCAAGUUGGGUGUUAAAUCUACCGGCUCAACCGGUAGCCGCACUCAAAACUGCAGUUCUUGAGUGAAGUAGAGGAAGGCGGAAUGCCUAGUGUAGCGGUGAAAUGCGUAGAUAUUAGGAGGAACACCAGUGGCGAAGGCGGCUUGCUGGGCUGUUACUGACGCUGAGGCUCGAAAGUGUGGGGAGCAAACAGGAUUAGAUACCCCGGUAGUC
rnacentral:rRNA from 1 species